rnacentral:rRNA from 1 species
UGUGUAGGCGGGCUUGUAAGUCCGAGGUGAAAUCUCCGAGCUCAACUUGGAAACUGCCUUGGAUACUAUAGGUCUUGAAUAUCGUUGAGGUAGGCGGAAUAUGUCAUGUAGCGGUGAAAUGCUUAGAUAUGACAUAGAACACCGAUUGCGAAGGCAGCUUGCUAAACGAUUAUUGACGCUGAGGCACGAAAGCGUGGGGAUCAAACA